UUGUUUUGAAUACAAUUUGUUUGAUUAGCUUUGCUAGUUUUCAUGAUGAAUAUCAUUUCUGUUGUUUCCAAAUUCAGUUACUAAACUGACCUGUAAUUUGUUCAACUGUUGAUGUUGGCUUAUCGUUUGUUGAUUUCAACUGAUUAGAUGGAUUGAUUGGUGAAACUUGAUUAACACAAAUUGUGAUCGCUUUAAGUACCAUUAACAGGUAAUAGAGAUGAUUUCAAUAUUUCUUAAUGAUUACCUUGAAUGAUUACUUUGGUGGCCCUCAGCUUCAAUCAAUUGGUAAUUUGAUCAAUUGAAUAAUUAAAGUGUUCUCAUUAAUCUGGUUUAAAUGUUAUUGACUAAUUUGAAUCAUCAGGUUAAAAUUAAACAUUAAUCUUUUAAUCAACUUUCCUGUUAAUUUGUAACUUGAGAUUGGUUUGAACAAAUUGUUGGUUAAAUUGAAGAGGAUUGGGUUUGGAAACCAGAUUUUUAUGGUUUUGCACCAGACUUGUAACCAUUGACUUUUGGGUUACCAUUUGAUCUUUGUUUUUCAAGCUUCUGGUUUCAAGAUUAAUCUUUGACUGAUUAGUUCAUGUUAAUUGGAUGCUUUGAUUAAAGUCAUUGGCUUUUCUGAUGAAAGUGUUGUUUUUAUGAUGAAAUAGACGAUUUUGUUUUCAUUUAAUUGCUACAAUUUAGCUUUAUCUUUGUUUCGUUAAACCUCAUACUGUGACAAUGUUUCAAUGUUUAAUGUUUAAGUGUUGCUAUACUUAAACAUCUUUACGUGUUUAUUAGCCACAAUCUUGCCUUUCUUACAUUUUCACAUGCACUUUAAGCAUGAGAUUAACCGUUGAUCUUUUAAAUCAGAUCAGAUAUCUUGAUAGGUUUGUUUUUCAUUUGCUAUUAAUUGAGAUUAGCGGCGAGUCCAAACUUGUUUAAAAUAAGAACCGAGAACUUGUCACACAUCUAACGCCAUCUAUUUAUAACCUAUGGUAAUUUUAUCCUUUUUGGUGUUGUGUGAAGCUUUCAAUGUUUUAAGUUAAUUGUUAUUUCUAAGGAUUAACCUAUUUUAUCGCCAUAAAUUCAACUAAUAAUAAUUUAAUGAUGAUAGCUUCUUGUUCUUAUACACAGUGAACCGACACAGAGAUGACAAUCAUAUCCAUUUCAAAUCAUGUGAACCAUGGAUGAUGACGAUGAUGAUUAAGAUGUUAAUAAGUUGCAUAAACGGAAAGGGUUAACUACUUUAAUUGUCUCCUCAAUUUCGGAUGGCUGUCUUGUCAAAACACUUACCACUGGCAAGAUGUUAACCCUCAAGCAAGGACUCAAUUUUGAACAAAAGGAAAGGGAAAGCAAAAGGGCAACCUAAUUAGAGAUAUAUUCAAAUUAUCCAAAAUUGUCUACAAGAUGUAAUCAAUUUUAAGGUGUCAACGUUAACCCAACAAUCAGCAAUAAUUUAAAUAUUAAUCAUGGAAAUCAAGUGAAGCAAAGAGCGCAAAACCGGAGCCCAAAAUAAUUGCAAGAAGCUGUUGCUGAUUCAACAAUUUGUUGAUUAUGGAGACUUAUUAAUCGUCAAUGUAAACAAUCGGCAUCAACCAUUGCCAAUAGGAACCAAUUAAUCUAAAUGGUUAGUCGCAAUUAAAGUUGGCGGCAAUGAAAAAACACAGGAAACAAUGAAAAGAGCCCAAAGCAUAAUGUUAACUCAAUUAAUCUCAUUUGCUUUUUUAAUGUGGCCAAAAUCAAUCGAAGCGAGUCAAAAUGUUUGAAAGCCAGUUAAUAAAAAUAACAAUAAAAAAAGAUCAUCAUCAUCAAAAUCAUCAUAAUCAUAAUCAUAAUCAUCUUGCAAGUCAACAUUAACAUGAACAACAGCAAGUUGGCGUAAACAUUUCCAUCUCUUCCAUCUUUAAUGCUAAUCAAGACAAAAAAAAGAGGAAUCGUUUCAACAGUAACAAUCUUAAUAAACAUUUGCCCAAUUUCCGGAAUUAAAAUGUUUCUUCUUUUCAGUAAUUUUCUUGAUUACUAUUAACAUUUGUAUUUUUAAUCUA